AGCGAACAGCGACCAGGCGGAGGCCAUGGCCAUGGUUACGGUUGCAUAGAAACAGGAACAAGAGAGAGAAAGAGCGGAUAGCCGGAAAUGAAGCCCGAUCUCGUGCAUGAACGGCAAAAUGGAACGAUAUCGAUGAGACGAACAAGAUGGUGUGCUCACCUUCGACCAGAGAUGAAUAAUGGCGACGGAAAAGCUCGCCGGAGUUGGGGAAGACGACGGAGCCGAC
rnacentral:lncRNA from 1 species